CAGGGAUUCCCAGAGGAAAGCCAUUCAUCCAGAACCCUGGUUAAACUAAACACUCAGUUCUCAGAGAAGUCACCUAAGAUCUCAGCUCAAGGCUGACGCAUUUGUAAAGAUCUUUUGAAAUAAGGGCGUUUUCUCCUCUUUUCCUCCCCAGACCUCACAUACCAACGCUCAGCUGCUUCUUGCUCCCAAACCUUGCAAUCUCUUGCCUCCUCUCUUCAGAGAAAACGUCCUAAUGAAAGCCCCUGGAUACCCCCAGGAGUGACAGUCACACCAAGCCCGACCUCUGCUUUUCUAGAACCAGUGUUGCCCAAUGUCCAGGGCAAUGAAAUCAAAGCAGGACUCCAACUCCACAGACCAGGCAGAGCAGCCUCCAGUGGAUCUUCCCAGCUUUGUUCAGGUGGAAACGAUGUCAGUCACUCUCUACUUCACCGUGUGCUACCUUGAGACCUCACAUCAACUCAGCUCGGGAAGCCUUGCCUUUGCUAACUGCGAGUCUUCCUCUCUGCAGAGGCUUUCUUUCCCGCAGCUCGAAGCUGAUGCCCUUGUUUACCGUCAGUGUGGUAGGAUGUACCAUCAUCUCCUGGGAAUGUGACAUGAAGUCCUCCCCGCACAAGGGGAUCUUCUCGACCCACAGAUCAAACCCACAUCUCCAAGUCUCCUGCAUUGGAAGUGGAUUCUUUCCUGCUGAGCCACGGGGGACGUCCAUUUAAUCUGUAUGCUUAGCUAUUUCACACAGUUCCAUAUAUUCCAUCACAGCUCCAAAUGAUAGUGAAAUAACUCCAUUAACCUUCAGAGAAUUCUACAAAGUGGUGGGACUUUUAACUCCAGUAAGCAGAGGACAACCCAGGUUCUCUUGUAAUGUUCCCUACACAGCUGCUUCUAUCCAAAAGGACUUUACAAAUGGUUCAUCCAAACACCCAGCACACGUGGAGUAUGAGCUUGGUCUCCACAGCCAAAGACAGUGAUUAUCAACAGAGUAUGAACCAGUCUAGGCAUCUGGACCAUGGCCAUCCUGCCCAUGGAGGCAGCCACCUUCCUGUAUUUCAGAGACCUUUCUCAGAUCCUAAGUUGCCAAGUCUGAGUCUGAGACCAUCCUGGGAUAAUAAGAACCAGAGAGGUGAUGGAAAUUGACAUGAAGCUUUAGCCAAAGAAAUGUUUUAACUGAAAAAGCUACUUGUAGACCAUCCUGUACUAUGGAUUCAUUUCUACACAACAUCUGUAUGUGGUAAUGUGUGUUUAGAGUAAACUCUGGAGAAUAUUACCAAAAUGUAACUAAUGGUAUUGCUCUGAUUGAAGCUGAAUUUUAG
ensembl:lncRNA